GCCUGGGUGGCUCAAUUGGUUGAGCAUCUGACUUCGGCCCAGGUCAUGAUCUCUUUGUUCGUGGGUUUGAGCCCUGUGUCAGGCU
rfam:Felis catus isolate Cinnamon breed Abyssinian chromosome D2, whole genome shotgun sequence.